CACCUUUAUUAAUUAGUCCUUUGUUGUCGAUAGCUGUAAAUUGCAAUCAGCUGAUAAUUGAUUUUCUGUCAAAAUCUUAAUGAGGUCAUUCAAGGUGAAUUCCGAGUAUUGUCUGAUAAGUUAAAGUCCGAGAAACUCGAAAAAAAAGUAAAUAAACAAGAAGGAGGAAAAUAAAUCUUUCUAUAUAUUUCUUUCGCCAAAUUCUUUAGCAAA
rnacentral:lncRNA from 1 species